rnacentral:rRNA from 1 species
GGGUGAGUAACACGUGGGUAACCUGCCCAUCAGAAGGGGAUAACACUUGGAAACAGGUGCUAAUACCGUAUAACAAUCGAAACCGCAUGGUUUCGUUUUGAAAGGCGCUUUACGGUGCCGCUGAUGGAUGGACCCGCGGUGCAUUAGCUAGUUGGUGAGGUAACGGCUCACCAAGGCCACGAUGCAUAGCCGACCUGAGAGGGUGAUCGGCCACAUUGGGACUGAGACACGGCCCAAACUCCUACGGGAGGCAGCAGUAGGGAAUCUUCGGCAAUGGACGAAAGUCUGACCGAGCAACGCCGCGUGAGUGAAGAAGGUUUUCGGAUCGUAAACUCUGUUGUUAGAGAAGAACAAGGGUGAGAGUAACUGUUCACCCCUUGACGGUAUCUAACCAGAAAGCCACGGCUAACUACGUGCCAGCAGCCGCGGUAAUACGUAGGUGGCAAGCGUUGUCCGGAUUUAUUGGGCGUAAAGCGAGCGCAGGCGGUUUCUUAAGUCUGAUGUGAAAGCCCCCGGCUCAACCGGGGAGGGUCAUUGGAAACUGGGAGACUUGAGUGCAAGAAGAGGAGAGUGGAAUUCCAUGUGUAAGCGGUGAAAUGCGUAAAUAUAUGGA